GACGAACGCUGGCGGCGUGCUUAACACAUGCAAGUCGAACGGAAAGGCCCUGCUUUUGUGGGGUGCUCGAGUGGCGAACGGGUGAGUAACACGUGAGUAACCUGCCCUUGACUUUGGGAUAACUUCAGGAAACUGGGGCUAAUACCGGAUAGGAGCUCCUGCUGCAUGGUGGGGGUUGGAAAGUUUCGGCGGUUGGGGAUGGACUCGCGGCUUAUCAGCUUGUUGGUGGGGUAGUGGCUUACCAAGGCCUUGACGGGUAGCCGGCCUGAGAGGGUGACCGGCCAAUUGGGGAGGGAGAUCGGGCCGGGCCCCCUCGGGGGGCAGGCGGGGGGAAAUUUGGCAGAAGGGGGGGAGGCUUGAGCCGGCACCCCCGCGUGGGGAAGGACGGCCGUGGGUUUGAAACCCGCUUGCGCCUGUGACGAAGGGGGAGGGAGGUAAAGGGGUAAAGAAGCCCGGCCAAACUCGGGC
rnacentral:rRNA from 1 species